GUGCAUAAAAAUAUAUUAUGUUUGUGUAGCAGGCUAAUCAAUGUUAUUAGAGAAACACAGUUAAAUGAUCCUUUUCAAUUUGCUGACAACUCACAGCCACUAAAUCCAGUUUCGACUACUUUUAAUACACUGUGCUGUGGGAUUGGGAAUCCCUCACUGAUAAGGUGUUCUGACAUGUUCGCUUAGCUCCUCGCCGCCAGCCGUGUGGCCAACUCCGCUGGGGG